UUAGUUAACCCUUUUGGCUAAGAUCAAUUGUAGUAUAUAUUAAUCUUAUCAGUUUAAUAUAUGAUAUGUGGGCCAUCGGUCCACUAUGAUAUUAAUUAAAUUAAUUUUGUUGGGGAAGAGCUCAUCUUAGUAGCUUGCUAUUGGGCCUCUUAGGCAUCGCUCAUGCAUUGCACUAUUUCGUGAGCAUGGCGCACCCCUG